CCGCCUGGCAGCUCCACGUCGACAUUCUUCCAGCUGCGCUGUGGAAAGCGUACCCAGAGCAGUGUGACUGGCUCGCUGGCAGACGUGGAGGUGCAGAGGUGAAGACGGCAACUCAGUGGGUUCCGUGGUCCGCAGGACCCCGUGGCAAAGGCACGAGCUCGACGGAGCUCAGCAGAUCAGGUACACUGGAGGGACGAGUUCAUCUCCACCUCACCCCGUCAGAUGCCAAGCCUGUCCAGCGGCUCUCAAACUAAAGUUCUGUGGUACACUUGGACUCUUCAUUGUUUGCAGUCAGUGCAUUACAGAACUUUGUUUUGGGAGUUGAAGCCCAUCUGGUGAAAUGGAGCGCAGUCUUUUAAGGGUCUGGAUGUUAUUGUCUGAUUUUUCUUUCACCUCUUUCUGCUUAUCUUUUCUUUCAUACUUAAUCUAUGUGAAAUGAUAGGAUAUAAAAAAAAACACAUUCAUUUUUAACACUUUCUACAUAUUGGUUAAUGUGUAAUGGAAUUUGUGGUUAAUUAAAAAACAGAAAGUGCUGAAAUACAUCUUUCCUGAA